GCAAGCCUGAUGCAGCCAUGCCGCGUGUAUGAAGAAGGCCUUCGGGUUGUAAAGUACUUUCAGCGGGGAGGAAAGGAGUAAAGUUAAUACCUUUGCUCAUUGACGUUACCCGCAGAAGAAGCACCGGCUAACUCCGUGCCAGCAGCCGCGGUAAUACGGAGGGUGCAAGCGUUAAUCGGAAUUACUGGGCGUAAAGCGCACGCAGGCGGUUUGUUAAGUCAGAUGUGAAAUCCCCGGGCUCAACCUGGGAACUGCAUCUGAUACUGGCAAGCUUGAGUCUCGUAGAGGGGGGUAGAAUUCCAGGUGUAGCGGUGAAAUGCGUAGAGAUCUGGAGGAAUACCGGUGGCGAAGGCGGCCCCCUGGACGAAGACUGACGCUCAGGUGCGAAAGCGUGGGGAGCAAACAGGAUU
rnacentral:rRNA from 1 species